AUCUGACCUCAAAUCAGGU
rnacentral:rRNA from 1 species